rnacentral:rRNA from 1 species
AGCGAACGCUGGCGGCGUGCUUAACACAUGCAAGUCGAGCGAAGGUGUUUCAAGGGUAACCUUGAGAUACACUUAGCGGCGGACGGGUGAGUAAUACGUGGAUAACUUACCUCUAGGCCUGGGAUAACCCCGGGAAACUGGGGCUAAUACCUGAUAAGACCACAUUGUCUACGGACAAAGGGGUAAAAGGUGGCUGUGCAAACAGCUAUCGCCAAAAGAUAGGUUCACGUCCCAUCAGGCAGUGGUGAGGUAAUGGCUCACCAAACCAAAGACGGGUAGCCGGCCUUGGCGGGUGAACGGCCACACGGGGACUGAGACACGGCCCCGACUCCUACGGGAGGCAGCAGUGGGGAAUAUUGGGCAAUGGGCGCAAGCCUGACCCAGCGACGUCGCGUU